GUGCGGUCAAAUGUCAUAAAAAUUUAAAUUUAAUAAACUGCGAUCAGUUGUCAUCACAAUUGUAAUAAAAAUCGUUUGGUCGUGUUGACGCCGCUUGCCCGUUAUAAAAGCCACACAAAGCUUUACAGUUGUUUAAAUAAUACAUCGUUGAUCUCGCCUUUGACCUCGACCAACUGUAUCUUAGGUGUGUAUCUCUCUCGUUAUCUGGAUACUAUAUUCAUAAUAUUCGUAAUUCUGUCGUCGUGAGAGCCAUUCAUCUUUUCGUACAUUAUUUUUUCAUAAAACCAUCCAUUUUGACACAGUCGACUAAGUUCCUCUCAGCUGUCUGUUGCAGAUAAGAGUCAGGUUAAAGAAUCGAUUUUUAUGUCUGGUAAAAAUAUUUGGGUUCAGGGCAAUUAGCUGAUUCGGUGCAUCAAAGUUUGCAAAGGAGACGCUACGAUAAAUCACUAUUGCUGAAAGCACUAUAGUGAUUUAUAAAUCGCACUUCCAGCAUGACAGAUUUAAAAUUAUUAAAUUCCCCACGAAAAAAAAAAACGUCAGCUAAACCAAAAAUAGAAUAAUGUGACAAUGCCAUUAAACCGAGAGCCGACCUCCAUCAGGAGUACUAUAUGGGCUUUAAUUGACACUCUCAAUCUAACGAAUUUCCUGUUCCUAGAAGCCAUUCUUGAUUCGACAACCAUUUACUUUCAAUACGUAAUGUAGCAAUAACUUAUUAUAUCACUUAUCAUCUCCUUACGUAAUUCAAUUGCUCUCCUCUACCAUCAGAUCCAACAGUAGUAAUAAUUCCUGUUUAACCGGCAUUGUUCGUGAGCAUCUAAUUACAGUCGAGUAGAAUAAAUCGUAACCCCGCGAUG